CGCUCCCGCCUGGGCUGAUGGAGCCCGCAGCGCUCGCUGCUGUGCAGGGCUGGAUUCUCAUCUCGCUUUAGUGUCUUGCAAAUGAUUUGUCCAGGUUUAACUUUCCUGAGUCUGCUGUCACUUUAGUCAGCCUUGUGAUCCCGCUAGGCUGGGUGUAAGGGCAGGGCUGGGUCCUGCAUCUGUCCUGCUGCUGCAGCCCUCAGAGGCACAGCCUGCCUGAGGAUGGGGAGGAGAGCAGGACAUCCUCUGCCAAAGCCAUCUCCUCGAUUAAACUGCCCAAGAGCCUGCCGUUCUCAGUGUGGUGGUCUGGAAGCAUCAGGCAGCAGCUUAAAAAGAGGAUUCUUGUGGGGUGGAGUGCAGUGGGGAGGGGCGAUUUUUCUCUCAGUUUACAGACAGCUGGAAGGGCAUGCUGGAAAAUCAGAGAGGCUGAAGAAAGGGCUCAUGAAAAAUUGAGUAUGGCUUGCAAUGGGUGAGAUUAUCUGCCAGAGCAAAAUUCAAACUGGCACAGAAUGCAAAAGCUGCGGAGCUGGCUGGAGCCAGAGGCAGCGAGCCCUGACCCUGGGGAGAAGUGGCUGGACAAACCCAGGCAAGAAACCUGCCAUAUGUUUAGCAGUGAGCCAAGACCAUCCUGAAGAGGUUUUGUAAUGUUGUGGGAAACACGGGCUAGGACAAUGGGAUUGCAAAGAGAUCUGUGCCACAGGACGGGCAGACCUGUGCCAGUUUUCCUAGCAGGAUGACAUUGAUCAAGCAAGAUCAGGGGAUAGCUUCAAUGCCUGAUAAACCAAACGGUGCUGUUCAGUGGCUGCCAGAGAGGUUUUUGGGAGAAGACUUGAUCCUGCAUGCCUUGGGCAGGCACCUGGCCAAAGGAACAUGUCCUGUUUAUCACUGGUGCUAAGCAACAGGAGCAUGGCUAGCAGUGGGUGCAAGCAGAUUGGCCGGUGUGACCGGGGGAUGGCUCCAGGAGCCGUGGCUGGGGCAUCAGGGUGCGUUCAAGGCGGUUGGAGCAGACCCCUGCAGCAGGACUCAGCCUUGGAUUUCAACUCCAGUGUUGAGAAAGUCCAGGUAGCGGUCCCAGACUGCAUACUGACACGUCCUUGGGAGAGCUCUCAGAGUAGGUUUGGUGUCUCAGUGUUCAGAGCAUAUGGAGAGUAAAUAUGCUGAGUGGGAAGCAGUCCCAGCCCAAAGAUUGUGCAGCUGGAGGAGAGACUGCAAGAGGAGACCAGGACUACCAAGCUCCUCUUCACAAACCGUCACUGUGCUGGCGCUGGGGUUGUUUGGAAGAGGAACAUUGCCAUGGGCUCCCGGAGAAGUUGCCAUGCUGUUGUGCUCACAUCAGCUGCAUCUCUCCUGGGGGUAGAAGCAACUAACUGAACCAAUGAUGAAAGCAGCAUUGUUAGCAUCCCUUCUAUAUGCAGCACAGCUUUUCCCUAUAUGAAUUCAUGUGACACUGUACUCUUUCCUUAACACUUUCAUUGAAGUGAGUGCCGGAACAGACCUUUUGCAUAAAUCAGCAGGAGAAAACAAACCAUCUCUUGCUAUAACCAUUUGUUCCUUUUAGCUCAGUAAUAAAUCCCUCCUGGGAAUAAGGAGUUCAUGUAAUUUAUCAUUGAUCCUUGUAAAGCACAUUGUAGUACUGUAUUUCACAUGCCUGGAGUGCAUCUUUUGAUUAGAGCAGACAUCAGCUUUCUGCUUUUAAAAGCAAAUGAAAAUAUGCUCUCAAUGGCAAAGUUGAAAUGAGUAUUAAUUGCAUUAAAUAAUCAGUGAGUAAAAGGGCAAGAUUCCAAUAAUCAAAGUGUUCAUAAGGAGAAAAGCUAAUCAGAAAUGUUAGAACGAGAUUAAAUUUGUUGUCUUUCCUAGGA